GAUGAACGCUGGCGGCGUGCCUAAUACAUGCAAGUAGAACGCUGAAGGAAGGAGCUUGCUCUUUCCGGAUGAGUUGCGAACGGGUGAGUAACGCGUAGGUAACCUGCCUGGUAGCGGGGGAUAACUAUUGGAAACGAUAGCUAAUACCGCAUAACAGUAGAUGUUGCAUGAUAUCUACUUAAAAGGUGCAAUUGCACCACUACCAGAUGGACCUGCGUUGUAUUAGCUAGUUGGUGAGGUAACGGCUCACCAAGGCGACGAUACAUAGCCGACCUGAGAGGGUGAUCGGCCACACUGGGACUGAGACACGGCCCAGACUCCUACGGGAGGCAGCAGUAGGGAAUCUUCGGCAAUGGACGGAAGUCUGACCGAGCAACGCCGCGUGAGUGAAGAAGGUUUUCGGAUCGUAAAGCUCUGUUGUAAGAGAAGAACGAGUGUGAGAGUGGAAAGUUCACACUGUGACGGUAUCUCACCAGAAAGGGACGGCUAACUACGUG
rnacentral:rRNA from 1 species